CAACACAUUCCAUCACGCACGUAACAUAAUUACUUAAUUCUCACACCAGCCAGCUCUCACUUCCAGGUGCCACACCCAAUUCAUAAUUCAUAUAACUUUCCAGGGCUUAUCUUGUCAAUCAUGGCGGACGGAAGGGAUAUCCUUUUGGUCAUUUUGUCCAUCAUCCUACCCCCACUUGCCGUUUUUCUGAAGAAGAACAAAUGCGACUCUGACGUCGCGAUCAACCUGAUUCUCUCAUUUUUCUUCUGGGUUCCAGGAAUUUUGCAUGCUCUUUGGGUCAUCUUUUUCAGAUGAGGGUUGGAAAUCCAGUCUUUUCUUGGUCAAAUUUACAAGAGUUAAAUUUAAAAGAAAGCAAGUUCAAGAAAUCUGUAUGGAAGAAAUUCUGCAUAUAUUUAAUUAGUCAAUAUUUACAUAUUUCAUUUAUUUGUAUGGACAAGAAUUUAAAUAUAUACAUAUACGUAGUUUUUAGAUUUCUAUUAAUUACAUAUCAUAUAUUUAUGUAAUUAAAGAAUUUAUUAUUAAUAAAUUCUUAUAACAAAUGUAACUAGGGAGUGAAAUAUCUACAAAUAAUUAUUCGAGUUGAAAGUUACAGAUCUACUAAAAUUGACAU